UAGGACGCAAUUUUCUUGAUCGAAACCUACUUCCCUUUUUGGGCAUGUAAGAGUGGUCUAAAAAAAUCUGCUACAUUAGAGCCUUGAAUCUUUGACUCACGAGGCUGACUCUAGCAUUCAGACUUCUUAUGUGAGACUCUCUUUAUUUGAAUGUGUGUAGAUUUACAGACUGGGACCCUUUUCAGCACCAAUUUUAGGAAAGCGUCACUCUUAGGUAGAAUGUGUAAUAUAGAAAGAAAUGGAAAAAAUAUAGUGAAGCCCUUUGGGGAAGUACAGAAAUAAUCAACAGAGUGACUUCGCUGUGAACAGUAGCUGUAGGUAUUGCACCAUAUGAAACCUAAAAGUUGCUUCCUCAAGAUGAAAACUGGGUUUUAAUUUCCAAUUAACGAUUACAUUCAUCAAGUAACAGUUCUUUUUCUCAACACCCGUACUGCUGAAAAGAAAACAAACAAAACUCAAUCAUUUAUAGCACUUAGUGUUAUGCACAUUUUUUAAAAGUUGAAGGAAAUGAAAGAGAGUGCUACACUGUUGGUGACUCAAGAUGACUAGUUUCCUCUUUGUUUAUUUAUACACGUAUGUGCUCGUGUAAGUGCCCUAAACUUCCCUUUCCUACAAACUACAAAACAAGACUUUGCUAUUAUUCUUGCAAUAAGUGUUUGAAGUCAAAUGCGUAAAAGGAAAACUGCUAAAGUUAAGUUUGUUACUGUAUUUCUGGGUAGUUGGUGAGAAGGAAGCCGAGAUUAGGUAAUAAGGGUGCCUACAAAAAGAAGGAAGAGGCAGGGGAAGUAAAGAAAGACUCUCACAUUAAAAAUAACCAGAGAGAGAAAUGCAGAAGAAAAUGGCAUGCAGGUGUGGCUGUUCCUGAUUCAGUUUGAUGAUCUUUGUAUACGCAAGAAAAAAAACGUCUUCACACAGAGAGUGACAGGACUAAAUCAAGAUGUUUAUUCUCACCUGGCUAAUUUUACUCUCCAUCAGUUCCAGCUCAGGUAUAAAGCAUAUUUCAACAGAACUCUGUUACUAAAAGUAAAUAAGCCUAACUCAUUAAAUCCACAAUGCCUUGUUGAAUACUCUAGUCUCGUCCAGUUUCCACUCAUCAUUAAACAACAUAAAACUGCAGGGGAAUUUUUAGAAAGAUUUGCUAAUUUUAACUAGAGCUGUUAAUGUGACCUGACCAAAAAAGUAUGUGGGUGUUGCAUUUCUACAUUUCUGUUUCAAACAUAUACACUGCACAAGAGAUGUAACUACAUUAAUAAAGAAGUUUAAAUGACA